UACGUAGGUGGCGAGCGUUAAUCGGAAUUACUGGGCGUAAAGCGUGCGCAGGCGGCGGCUCAGGUCAGGUGUGAAAUCCCCGGGCUUAACCUGGGAAUUGCGCUUGAAACUAGGCUGCUUGAGUGUGGCAGAGGGGGGUGGAAUUCCACGUGUAGCAGCGAAAUGCGUAGAGAUGUGGAGGAACACCGAUGGCGAAGGCAGCCCCCUGGGUCAACACUGACGCUCAUGCACGAAAGCGUGGGGAGCAAACAGG
rnacentral:rRNA from 1 species